CUAUUCCCCGAGGGCUGUGUGGGGCACCAUGACUGUGAGAGGCGAGGGCGGCGAAAGGCUGUGGCCCAGUUUGUGUCCAAUCAGCGGCCUGAUUGGCGUGCACCGAGCAGGGCAGCAAUGCGUAAACAACCAGCCCUGGGAAAGUCCUCCGCCUCCUGCACCGCUCCGCUCUUCGAGCCUUCCUUCUCGCUAGACUCGCCACCGCCUCCUCCUUCUGCCCCCUCCCUUCUCUCAUCCCCCCCCCCCCUUGUCAGCUGAACAGCAGCUGAAAACGCACCUCGCUCUUCCUUGCAACAUAACCUAACUCCCGCGCCGCGUCCCCGGGGCGCUCCCUCUGGGCUGUUUGCGGGAAGGGCUGGAAGAUGUCUAACUCUAAAAAGAAGGAGAGGUUGGGAGUCAUCACCCUCUGAGAGGCCCUGCAUCCCCAUCCUCCAAUGCCUGGAGAAGUCCGGCUGCAUAUAGCAGCUCACCAGCUCCUGUGAUCCUGUCUUGCUUGCCUUGCACAUUUCACAGCUUGGGUCCCAAACAUUUUCCUCUGCUGCAGCUCCUGCCACGAAUGGCUACCCAGAGGAAGCAUUUUGUGAAAGAUUUCAACCCCUAUAUCACCUGUUGUAUUUGCAAAGGAUACCUUAUCAAACCUACUACAGUAACUGAGUGUCUCCAUACUUUUUGUAAGAGUUGCAUUGUACAGCACUUUGAAGACAGCAACGACUGUCCCAAAUGUGGCAAUCAAGUGCACGAGACCAAUCCUUUAGAAAUGUUACGGCUGGACAAUACAUUAGAGGAAAUUAUAUUUAAGUUGGUACCAGGACUUCGAGAACAAGAACUGCAGCUCGAGUCUGAAUUCUGGAGGAAAAACAAACCUCAAGAAAACGGAGGAGAAGGAAAUCCAAAAUCUGAAAAUCCCAAUGAUGAUGGAGAUAGAGAUGAAAAUCAAGAUGAUAAGGACUAUCACAGGAGUGACCCUCAGAUUGCUAUCUGUUUGGAUUGCUUACGCAACAAUGGACAAUCUGGAGAUAAUGUAGUAAAAGGAUUGAUGAAGAAAUUCAUCCGGUGUUCUACACGAGUGACCGUUGGAACUAUCAAGAAGUUUCUAAGCUUAAAAUUAAAGCUUCCAAGUUCUUAUGAGAUGUACUAUGCAAUGGGGAAAUCAUGGGUAAGGAUCACACUAUGGAAUUCAUCUAUAUGACGAGAUGGAGACUACGAGGCGAUAAUUUUCGGUGUCAGAACUGCUCAUCUUCGCAAGUCUGCUCACAGGAUGGCUCUGUUUAUCAGUCUUACCCCAUGGUUCUGCAGUAUCGACCCAGAAUUGACUUCGGUUAGACCAAAGGGCCAGAUCCCACUGAGAUUAAUCCUGCACUAUGUUUACCCAUCGACAGAUUGCACAAUGAAUGGAUUUGCCUGGACUGGGGGGGACACAACCAGAAUUUCGGCAUGUAAAUAUGGACUUCUUAUUCGGUUGAUCAACUGCAUCUUUCUUUCCCCCUCCCCACCUCAAUUAGAGUAAGCCAAGUGCCAUUCUGCUACUGAAACAUCCAUAAGAUAUUUGUGGUAUCGAAGUCUACUAGGAAAAUUGUUCAAUGUAUAGUUAAGACUCAGAAUCUCUGGAAUAGUUUGCUCUGCCUGUUAGAAAUUUUCCCUGGUCAGUAAUGUUGAUAACAUUAACCAAGACGGCCAUGCAGUCUUUCACAUGUGGUGUUCCAGUUUUUUCACAUUUACUAUUUUACUGAAUAACGUUGUUUAAAAGAAGUACUGUACAAAAGGUUAAAGACUAUAACUUUGGAAAUAUUUUGUAUAUAAUAUAUGUUUAAAAAUGUGGUUAUGUUGCCACUACCUUCUUUUUUUUCUUGUUCAGUUUCUCAUAGAUCCAGGUAUAGCUCACUAAUUAGUGUGCACCAGUCUUUUUGAAGCAUCUAAAAAUUAGACUUUUUGUCAGAGAAAUGAAACACAAUUAUUCCUGAACUGAAAGUGUGUGCUGAAGCACUCAGAUAAAGUCUCAUAACCUCCUUUCACUAGAGUAUAAAACUUACCUAGAGUUUUGAAUUUGAGGAGUAGCAAAUCAGCACACAUGCGGCAGGUAAAAUUAUUUGUCUUUUUAAAAAAUCCAUUGCAUAACAUUUUUUAAAAAAUAUAUGCCUUGGGGAUAAAAAGGAAUUAUUAUAUAAACGUACUCUAAAAAGUAUGCGUUGGGUGUCUUUGAAACCUGUCCUUUCAAACUUCCUCUAAAAUUUGUUUUGCUCUAGUGAUGAUCCCGCAAAAAGGAAGACUGAAAUCAGCGUUCUCAAUGAAUUGGGACCACUGUGCUAAUCUUGUGUCAACCUACUCGUCAUAUGCCGAUAACCAUAUUCUGUGGUUAUUUGGAAUAUGGAAACUGUUGGACAGUUGGUUACCACAUCCGAAACUGAAAUAUGGCAGACAAAGCUUUCUGACCAAAAUUACUUAUUGGCUAUUUAGGGGAGAAGUGGAUAAUGCCAAAAUGUUGAUGAUUGCCUUAGUUAUCGCACAUGCAUUCUAUUCAUUUGUAAAUGCUGUGUUGUGGGUUUGGACAUCAUUACACAAUUCCUUCAGCAUAAAUUACGCACUAUGAAUAAUAGUGGAAUAAUUAAUUUCAGAAAAACAGUAAUAGAAUGAUACUAAAAAUCUGGCUUGUUAAGCACAGAAAGGGGUUAGACCAUGAAAGGUUUCUGGCCAUUAUUUCUAAAGGAAUAUUGUGUGCCUUCCAAGACCAAAUCAAGAUAUGCUUCUCAGCACCCACAUAAGAGGCAGAGGCAUCAAUAAAAGGGAUCAAUAGCAACCCUCCCGCCACACUGUGUUUGAACCCCCUCUGUGAACAGUGCCUGCUUCCCUCACCUGUAGUGACUGGUCCUGUCAGAAUUGGUAGUAUUAAUUGCAUGUUGGAUCUUAUUGGCUCUGCUGGAGUAUCAUGACUGUAUCCACCUGUGUUCUUCCCACUCCAGCAUCCUUUAUGCAUUUGGUUUGACCUAAAUAGCUGCUUGGGUUCAUGAGGAAACUCGUGGCUGCUCAGUUUUAGCAUUGUCUGUUUGAACUAUUGACCCUUUCUCUGGUCCCAUACCAUAUCAAAAAUUGUUUGAAAAUUUGCUUCAUUUUAAAAUUAGUUUGUUAUAUAACAUCUGUUGUUCAUGAAGAAUAUGUCCAGAGCACCUCUGGGUUCAUGGAAUUAGUUCUUGGAUUCCUAGAUAAAUGCAACAGGCAUUAGACCUAAUUGGUCAUAAACGAACUUCAGACAUUAACUGGGAAACCUAAAGUGGUUUAAAAGAGAUAUGUGUCUCUUUCUAUAGUUCUGCCUUUCAAGAAGCAUCUUCUGUAUCUCCUCAUGCUAGGGUAGGAGUCAGAGACGCUUGAACUCAGUACAUAUCUAGAAUUUGUACAUCUUGCCAUAGGAACAAGGUGCCCCUUUUGAGGAUCCAGAAGCACGGAAAGGGACGCAAAAGACCACUAGUUUGCAGUUUUUCUGUAGAAGGUUGUAAUUACAAGCUAGUAAUUCAUGAUGAAUUUUUUGGCAUUUCUAGGGUUGCCAGUUCCCCCCCCCCCAAUUGCGGGUGGAGUAUCCCCCGCCUUCUGCUGUCCUUUCUAGCUGCUACUUCAGAUGGUGAUGGGAGACAGCAAAAAGGCCAUUGAGCUAACAGCAUGAUGUCACUUCCCUGGAAGCAACAUCAGUCCUUCCUAGAAAUUUCCCUCUGGUGAUUCCUGGAGGGAUGUGAUGUCACUAGGAGAGGAGGGGAAUUAAAAUCAUGUCAAACCAUCGCUGAUGCACAGGGACAGGCAUGCCCACACACACAGUCUCUUGCUGGUUGCCAGACUGUGCAUAUUGAAUGUUUGGCCAUUGACUUUAGUAAAAAUGGUGCCAGUCCUUGAAGUCUGUACCAUAUACCAUCUAUUUGUUAGUACUGGGACUAACUUUUGUACUGGUUAUAAAUGCUCUUUUACUAUCAGCAAAUAUGAAUCUUUUAUGUUCUGUUACCACUGCUCUGCCAUUUUAAACAUUGUACAGGCAUAAAAACUAUCUGAAUUUUGUUCAGAUGAAGUAUAUACUACUUCCACAUUAUAUCUGAACUAUAUUACGGUUUCCUUUGUUGGCUCAUGAUGCAUGUUUCAAAACUUCAUGCCAGUUGACCAAAAUGCAUCUUCAGACUUUAUAUUUAUUUUUAUGUUGUAUUUGCUUUUAGUGGAUUUGGAGAAGGUAUUUUCAAGCCCAAUAAUAACAGCUCAUGUUUCCUAUAUAAGAAGAAAUUUUGCUUUUUUACUGUAAAGAAAUGCAAGUAUUUGGGGUUUGGAUCCAAAGACUUUCUUCACAAGCUCAGUAAGCCCACAGAUUUUGCAGGCUGAGAAUUAAUGUAGGUUUAAUUUUGUAAAACUUUAUUUGAGAGCAAGUAUCUUUCCACAUGAAUAAUGGACAACCAUGUUAUGUGUGAAACUUGAAGUCUUUAAAUUUCCCUUGCUCAUGUAACCUUGUAGCUAUACCUUGGAAUUACUGGUGCUUCAUAGUUACCACUGUACAUUUGGCUGAAUAAUUGUCCAAAGGCCAGCCAACUACAGGUGUCUGCUGCAGAACUUAAUAUUUCAGUGAAGCAUUCUACUCAUUUAUUCUUUGACCUUUCCUAAAAAUGCAUGGGUACCCAAAAUAAAUUCAAGAUUAAUUCGUGAUUAGUAGAACCAAUGCAAUCUUUUGGUGCCAAAGAAAGAUUAUGUAACUAAAAAUACAAGUAUUCCACCCAAGCUGCUGAGUGUAUCUGGAGAUUUUUCAUGCAAGCACUAAAACAAAGUUCAGUUGGGGACAAAAAAAUUCCAUAUCUGACAACAGUACUGGCUGGCUGUUGUGACUCACUUUCUGCACACGCUACAUUUCUUUUUCCCUUCUUUGAAAGAUGAUUAUUCCAUGCAUGUAUAGAUAUUUUCUAUAUUGGGCCAAAAUACAAGUGACAGAGGCCACAAGUCCAUCCUGUGGCCAUUGAUGUCAUUUUAAAAACAUUGGUAGUUCUUUGAAAAUGGCUGCAAGAUCCUAGUCCACAUUUCAAGUGUAGAAACAGCCACAGCAAACUGGGCUGUGCUUGCAAAUGCAUCUGAGCGGGGAGGACAAGAGCUCUUGGGGCCCCAGUGCAUUCAAACUGGACUGGGGCUUCCCACCAAUUUUUAAAGAACCACAGAUUUUUUCAAAUGGCACCUGCGGCCACAGGUUGGGCCCAUGAAACCACUGCAGGUCCAGUCCAGAGAUCUGCAAGGCCACUGUGCUGGCAGCAAAAUACUGCCUAGUGCCCAAGCUUAGGGCACACAGGUAUCCAUAAAAAAUAUGGCAUUGGGUUACAUAAGUUAAUUUUGUUCCCUGAUUGAGGCAUUUACAUUUUACUUAGAUACUACAAAGUUAAAUCUAUCUCUCUUACACAAACACCGAGGUGGUGCCAUCUCUUUGCUUCCACUAAUGGAAUCUAGACUGACUAAUAAUAUACUUGCAACAUAGGUCUUGUGCCAAAUGAUUUGCUUAUUUUGGGGAGUGGUGUCCAUUCUCAAACGCCUACAAUAUAGUUCAGUUAGGUUACCAAAAUUCUGAUAGUGCUGAAGUAUUCAGCUGUAAAAAGCCCGUUCCUGCAAACCCAUGUAUUCAAAUUAUUUAUCCAAAAGGUGUUCCAAAAAUGUUUAGGAAGGGUUAUUUUUUAGGAACUGUUGUUUGUGCUGCCUCAGGACAAUUAAACAAAAAAAUAGUUCCAUGCCUAUUGCGACUCUUGCCAAAGAAAAGUAUUGGACUGAAUUUGCAGGGUGACAUAAUUUUCCACUGUGUUUUUUUUUUCUAGCAGUAUCUUUUAUGUAUGGUUUUCGGAGUACAGAGUAUGUGACAAGAAUAAAAUUGAGACCGGAGGAGAAGAGCAAAAACAGUUUGUGCAUAUUUCUUCAAGGAAUGUGUGAUAGACAAGAUUAGUAAUUUGAGUCUGAGGGGCCCCAGACAGGAAAUAUUGUUUUGUUUGCCCAGUGGUACUUUAAAAAAAAAUUAUAUGAACUUGCUUUCUAGAGAAGUAAGUUUUGUGGGGGAGGGGUUUCUAGGAAUGGAUUUUUUUUCCUGGAAUGGUGCCUGACGUCAAAGUUGAUUAUCAUUGUGGAUGCUGGAUUGUGCCUGAAGCAUUUUGUGCAGCUUUAGAAUUAGUCCUGCACACUUUUGGGGGUUUAAAAUAAAAUAUUGAAGAGUUUACAUGAUUUAAAAUGAAAAGUCGCACUAGUUGCCUCCCAAUCAAUGAGCAUCAUAACAAUGAGGGGUCUCAUUGAUGACAAUUUAUGGAGAAAUACAAAGGCCUUUAUUUUCAGUUCUCUGCUUUUGUUAUCAGUGUUUGGUUAUACCUGGCCUGUGAACCAAAAAUUCAGUGUGCUGUUGAUCUUGCAAAAUCUGCAAAGCACAUCAUACUGAACAAAUGAAUUUCUGACUUUUAAAAUAGCAGCAGGGCUUAAUUGCAUUAUAUUUUGAAGUCUGGGAAUACAAGUUUAGAGAUUCAAAGCAAGGUAAUCGCUUUCAUUUUUACAGAAUUUAUUGUUCAGGGGGAUUUUUAAAGGCAAAAAUGCACUGCUUUCGGUACUGUCUCCCCAACACUGUGCGAUGCAAUGCAUAUAUAAUGCAGUGCAUUUGAUUAAUCUUUUCCAGAGCAGUUCUUAAUGUUAAAAGAUAUCUGCAAAGGCUGGAUGUUAAAUUCUGCCUCUGAAACUGGCAGUAAAUCUAUGCUGCUGUUCUCUAAAGUUACAAACAAAGCAUAGACUACCACUACAAGUCGGCCGUUACAAAGAGAUACUGUGCUGCAUUUUUUAAUAUACACAUAUAUACUAGGGUAAAUGGUAACAAGAGGGGCAAGGAUUUAAUUCCUGUGCCUACUAAGUUGGGAAUAAGUAACCCCCAGGGUUCCCAGUGACUUGACUCUGAGAAAAUAUGCAUAGGCUUGGGCUGUAAGUGUCCUUAUAUCAGGUAUGAUCCAAGUAACGACAUGAAGGAGCUGGUUGACCUGAGCGGUAGUGCUUCUAUACUUGCUUUUGUCUGGUUUGAUGGUUAUGAGUGCAUUACCACAGUCGCUCUUGCAAUACGUAGAGACCUUAAUACAUACUACUUUGUUGCUGAUUUUCUUUUUAAUGUAUGAAAUAUUUCGAGAGGGGUUUUUUGUCAAAAGUGAGAACAUCUUUUAACAAACCCUUUUGUGGUUGUAAAAUUCAGCUUAUGAAUCAUUCAAAUUGAAGUGAAAAAAAAUCUUUCCAGGUCAUUGGUUUAAUGACAGUCUGUCCUACUUAUUAAGAAUAUAUGUAUUUUUGUAAAAGAAAUGCAGUUGUAAAUAUUGAAACUGUCUUGUUACCUGGGUGUUUGUUUUUUGGAACAAAAAUGCUGCUGCUUAAGAGGAUCACCUACUUCUUUUGAGGUUUUGUGCUCAAAUGGAUUUUCUUUGGAUUUGUGGCAUGUUUCUUCUGUACUUAGCUGAAUUGUUACAACUGGGCUAAAUGCAUUUUAUAUCUAGGCCAUUACAGCCUCUCAUUAAAUCUGUCUGAAGGCACACUUUAUAAUGGUGCUUUUUCCAUCUUUGAUAUUAUCCCCCUUGUGCUCUGCAACAUUCCUAGUUUGUUGUUGCUGUUGUAUUAUUUAAAAAUUCUGAUUUUAUUAUGAAGGUCACAUUCCAGCUUGAUGUGUCAGUGAGUACUUAUUUUCCAUUUGCAACUGCUGAUAAGGUUGCCAACUUUUUUUUUGUAAUAGUGGCUCUUUGGGUGGGGCCAGAAGGCAGAGCCAGGGUGGACAAAGGCAAGGAAGGAUCUGGUGGCUCAUCUGUGAAACUUGGAGGAUUUUUACAGGACAGGAAAAGAACCAAGAUAGACUCCGACCCCUUCCGCACAUGCAGAAUAAUGCACUUUCAAUCCACUUUCACAAUUGAUUGCAAGUGGAUUUUGCUAUUCCACACAGUAAAAUCCAGCUGCAAAGUGGAUUGAAAAUGCAUUAUUCUGCAUGUGCGGAAGGGGCCUUGGAGAAGCAGGAGGUGGAGAAUUACUGGUGGAGCCUGGCAGACUCUGCAGUUUAUUGGUCUGUAAUGUCUGUCCAGUAAGACAAGAUAUUCAGCACAGAUUACAAUACUGAGAAGCGGACAUAUAGGCUUUGGAAAUCCCCGUAGGUGGAGAGGAGAGAGGUAGAAUGUAGUUAGGAGAGGGAACUGACCAAAGCUGUAAUUCAUUCCAGAACUUUUGUUUUUCCUCAGCUGCAUAGCCAUAGAGCCUGCCCUCCAAAGCUACCAUUUCCUUUGUUUAGAGGCUUGUAGCUCUACUGACAGAAAAUACUUUUACUGAUUGGACCAGUCAGAUACUGAAUGCUUGUGAGCCAUGAUUAUAAAACACGGUUUAUUCUUAUAUCCAGUUAAUGUGGAUGUAAGUGAAAUGAAAAGAAAACCCCCACAAAAGAAAAUUCAGAUACAUUUUUUUCCCAGAGCAGGGAGGGGUGGUAUACCUGGUGCAGCAUUUAUGAAAAGCUGUUCCCUAGGAAACUGCUGUUAGAACAUACAAGGUUUCAACUGCAAUUCAUGAAUGACUAAUUCAAAGAGGUGUUUUCAGCAGCCCUCUUUAAAGACUUUGGUGGUGUGGGGGAGCAGCUUCUAAAACUAGAACUAGUCACAGAAAUGUGUGCAGGGGCUGAACCUUAGUUCCUUUUCACCUUUCUUUAUGAGACAGCCAUUAGCAACUAAAUGCUUAGCAGAAAUGCCUCAGAAUUUAAUCAAAUGUCACAUUCCGAUAUUAUUCCUAACUUCUGUAUCUCUAUAAGGAUAUGCCCCAUCUUUUCAGCAGACCUACCAGAGUGACCCAAGUUUCCCAUCUUCUGUGUUUUGAAUAUUUUUGUCUGAUACCUAGCACUUGUUAUUAAUCUCUGUGUCCAUAUUUUCUAUUGGCAAUGAAUUAUACCAAAGUCUGUUUUUGGAUCUCAUAUCAAAUUGUUUUCCUUGAACUGAGUUUCAGCCCUCAGACAAAUAGUGGAAGGCUCUUACCAUAGUGGCUAAUAUAACAUAAAGUGGGGUACAGAUAUUGAGUUUACUUUGGGGCUAGCGCAUGCAUUUUAAACUUUAAUUCAUAUUCAAAGGCAACUCCUACCAUUGAGAUUCAUAGUAUCACAUGAAAAUGGUAUAAAUUGUUCACUGAAGUAUAAUAUACAUUCUUGAAAGCCAAUCUGUAACGUGCGCUAGACCCCCAAAAACGUUGUACUAGUCUACCCACUCACUCUUAACCUUUUUUAGUAAUUUGCAUCAUAAAGGACAAAGAACAAAGUGUCGUCCAGUUUGUUCUUUCAUAGUUGUCUGGAAGAGAUUCAUAGUUGUCACGGGCAAUCACAUGAGAGCCCAUUUACCAGCCAGUUAAUAUAUGUCACUUUUAAUCUAUUUUAAGUACAUACUAUGAGUGUGCUUCAAACUCUUUCAGUGCUAAUAUCAAGGAUGUCCAGAGGCACCAUUGUUAGUUGCUGGAAAAAUUCACACCCCAUAUAUGGUCCAUAUGCUGCAAUAUGCUUCCAGCCCAGUUGCAUAAAACCCAAGAAAAUCAAGUUGGGCAAGUUGUACAAUGACUCUGCUUGUUAGCACUGAACUGCUCUUUUCUGAAAGCAAUAAAUAUAUUCAUGUUGUAACAUCUGUUGUUCAGCAUACAAUACAGGGCAUUUUGUUGCAGUUUUGUUAUCUAUAUAAUUUAUUUUGUGCUAUAAAAAGAAUUCUUCGGUCUAUCUGAAAA